rnacentral:rRNA from 1 species
CUACGGGCUGCUGCAGUGGGGAAUAUUGCACAAUGGGCGCAAGCCUGAUGCAGCCAUGCCGCGUGUAUGAAGAAGGCCUUCGGGUUGUAAAGUACUUUCAGCGGGGAGGAAGGGAGUAAAGUUAAUACCUUUGCUCAUUGACGUUACCCGCAGGAGAAGCACCGGCUAACUCCGUGCCAGCAGCCGCGGUAAUACGGAGGGUGCAAGCGUUAAUCGGAAUUACUGGGCGUAAAGCGCACGCAGGCGGUUUGUGAAGUCAGGUGUGAAAUCCCCGGGCUCAACCUGGGAACUGCAUCUGAUACUGGCAAGCUUGAGUCUCGUAGAGGGGGGUAGAAUUCCAGGUGUAGCGGUGAAAUGCGUAGAGAUCUGGAGGAAUACCGGUGGCGAAGGCGGCCCCCUGGACGAAGACUGACGCUCAGGUGCGAAAGCGUGGGGAGCAAACAGGAUUAGAUACCCGGGUAGUC